CGAGCGGGGCGUGAGGGGCGCGGCAGUCCCGGGCGGGAUCCGCCCCUGGGGCGGCUCCGUGUCACCGGCACUGCCGCAACAGCGAGAUUUGCUACUCGCGCUUGCUUGGCUGUGCGUGCGGUGCUGUUUUUAAUGCCUUCUACGGGCAGAUUUACGUGUUGUAAAUAGCUAUAGGGAAGGAGCGAACGCCACCGAGGUCACAGCAACGGUGUUUUUGCCUCUUGUGUGAUCUGUGCUCUUCGCAGCCGGGUCCUGCCGUAGGAAGAGCUCGGCAUAAAUUAUAGUGGAAGGGUUUUGUCGCUUCUAAGAGGUUGGCUGAUGUUCAGAAGAGCGUCUUGCUGUGAGACGGGCAGAGUGAGUUAAAAACCAGGAGCUUUGGAGGUGAUAGAGGUUGGGACAGAAUGUCAGUAUGUGCUUAAUUACUGAUUUUGAUAGCUGUUUCUGCUACCAAAGGAAUGUCACAGUAAUUAAUACUCACAGUGCUCUGUGCACCUGAAGGACUUGCAGCUGCUGGCCAGUGGGGGACCUGAUGCCUCCUGUGCCUUGCAGACUGUAAAAUUUGCUCUUCUCUCUUUUCUGUCAUGCAGCCAGAUGAGGCUUGUUGUCCUGGUCCUGAAGAGGCAAGGUUUGCCUUGACACGGAGAUUUCCUGAAGAGCCACUGUUCAUGACUACAUUUUUACUUGGAGUACAAAUAGAAUAAAAACAACCUUGUUUUGUAAGGCUAAGGGAUUAGAUUGAACAUCAAAAUUGCAUUUUUUAAGAGUCUGGUGGACUGUAGAAACCAAUUUCAGU
rnacentral:lncRNA from 1 species